rnacentral:rRNA from 1 species
GGGGAAUAUUGGACAAUGGGCGCAAGCCUGAUCCAGCCAUGCCGCGUGGGUGAAGAAGGCCUUCGGGUUGUAAAGCCCUUUUGUUGGGAAAGAAAAGCAGCCGGCCAAUACCCGGUUGUUCUGACGGUACCCAAAGAAUAAGCACCGGCUAACUUCGUGCCAGCAGCCGGGGUAAUACGAAGGGUGCAAGCGUUACUCGGAAUUACUGGGCGUAAAGCGUGCGUAGGUGGUGGGUUAAGUACGUGUGAAAGCCCUGGGCUCAACCUGGGAACUGAAGUGGAUACGGGAUCACUGGAGGUUGGCAGAGGGUAGUGGAAUUCCCGGUGUAGCAGUGAAAUGCGUAGAGAUCGGGAGGAACAUCAGUGGCGAAGGCGACUGCCUGGGCCAACACUGACACUGAGGCACGAAAGCGUGGGGAGCAAACA